GUGGGGAAUAUUGGGCAAUGGGCGAAAGCCUGACCCAGCAACGCCGCGUGAAGGAAGAAGGUCUUCGGAUCGUAAACUUCUAUCCUUGGUGAAGAUAAUGACGGUAGCCGAGAAGGAAGCCCCGGCUAACUACGUGCCAGCAGCCGCGGUAAUACGUAGGGGGCAAGCGUUGUCCGGAAUGAUUGGGCGUAAAGGGCGCGUAGGCGGCCUGGUAAGUCUGGAGUGAAAGUCCUGCUUUUAAGGUGGGAAUUGCUUUGGAUACUGUCGGGCUUGAGUGCAGGAGAGGUAAGUGGAAUUCCCGGUGUAGCGGUGAAAUGCGUAGAGAUCGGGAGGAACACCAGUGGCGAAGGCGACUUACUGGACUGUAACUGACGCUGAGGCUCGAAAGUGUGGGGAGCAAACAGGAUUAGAUACCCUAGUAGUCC
rnacentral:rRNA from 1 species